rnacentral:rRNA from 1 species
CCUACGGGUGGCAGCAGUGGGGAAUAUUGCACAAUAGGGGAAACCCUGAUGCAGCGACGCCGCGUGAGGGAAGAAGUAUUUCGGUAUGUAAAGCUCUAUCAGCAGGGAAGAAAAUGACGGUACCUGAUUAAGAAGCCCCGGAUAACUACGUGCCAGCAGCCGCGGUAAUACGUAGGGGGCAGGCGUUAUCCGGAUUUACUGGGUGUAAAGGGGGCGUAGACGGCAGCACAAGUCUGGAGUGAAAUGCCGGGGCUUAACCCCGGAACUGCUUUGGAAACUGUGCAGCUAGAGUGCAGGAGAGGUAAGUGGAAUUCCUAGUGUAGCGGUGAAAUGCGUAGAUAUUAGGAUGAACACCAGUGGCGAAGGCGGCUUACUGGACUGUAACUGACGUUGAGGCUCGAAAGCGUGGGGAGCAAACAGGAUUAGAUACCCCUGUAGUC